GUACCUUUGCCUGUAUACGACGCUGUCGCUUGGUAUCAACUGGGUCGUUCCCAACAUAAGGCUUAGGUUGCUGCCUUUUAUCUCCCGGCUUUGAAAAUUUAUUAUGAGGUUUCUUCAGAACCUUAACGGGAACACCAGUUGAUGAUUUCAGUUUCUUGGGAGUUGAUUUCCCUCCGGCGGCUGCCGGAGCAUGCUUUCGCUUUUUGGAGUCGUCUCUUUUUAGGGGUUUAGCUGCCAUUGCUGUUUUACUCUGAGAUUCAGCUUCGCUAUGUUCUGUGAGUUGGGUUUUGCAAGGGUUUUAGUUUGUGGGUUGGGCUUUGCAGGAUGAAAGGAGGCUUAGGCUGUUGCUUUAUAUCUCCCGGCUUUAAAAAUUUAUUAUGGGGUUUCUUCAGAAUCUUAGCCGGAACACCAGUUGAUGAUUUCAGUUUCUUGGGAGUUGACUUCCCUCCGGCGGCUGCCGGAGCAUGCUUUCGCUUUUUGGAGUCGUCUCUUUUUUGGGGUUUAGCUGCCAUUGCAGUUUUACUCUG
rnacentral:lncRNA from 1 species